GCUUACGGCCAUACCACCUGAACACGCCGAUCUCGUCAGAUCUCAGCUAAGCAGGGUCGGGCCUGGUUAGUACUUGGAUGGGAGACCGCCUGGGAAUACCAGGUGCUGUAAGCU
rnacentral:rRNA from 1 species